UUGGAGGGCAAGUCUGGUGCCAGCAGCCGCGGUAAUUCCAGCUCCAAUAGCGUAUAUUAAAGUUGUUGCAGUUAAAAAGCUCGUAGUUGAAUUUCGGGGUCAGUAGGUCGGUCGUGCCACUGGUAUGAACUGGUUUUACUGAUUCCUCCCUCUUGAAGAACUGUAAUGCCAUUAAUUUGGUGUUGCAGGGAAUCAGGACUGUUACUUUGAAAAAAUUAGAGUGUUUAAAGCAGGCUUUAGCUUGAAUACAUUAGCAUGAAAUAAUGAAAUAGGACGUUUGAUCCUAUUUUGUUGGUUUCUAGGAUUGACGUAAUGAUUAAUAGGGAUAGUUGGGGGCAUUAGUAUUCAAUUGUCAGAGGUGAAAUUCUUGGAUUUAUUGAAGACUAACUACUGCGAAAGCAUUUGCCAAGGAUGUUUUCAUUAAUCAAGAACGAAAGUUAGGGGAUCGAAGACGAUCAGAUACCGUCGUAGUCUUAACCAUAAACUAUGCCGACUAGGGAUCGGAUGAUGUUAAUUUUUUAAUGACUCAUUCGGCGCCUUACGGGAAAC
rnacentral:rRNA from 1 species